rnacentral:tRNA from 1 species
UGGGGGGUGGUGUAACCGGCAGCACGGCAGAUUUUGGUUCUGUUAGUACAGGUUCGAUUCCUGUCCCCCCAG